rnacentral:rRNA from 1 species
AUUGAAUGCUGGCGGCAUGCUUUACACAUGCAAGUCGAACGGUAACAGCACUUCGGUGGCUGACGAGUGGCGAACGGGUGAGUAAUACAUCGGAACGUGCCUAGUAGUGGGGGAUAACUACUCGAAAGAGUAGCUAAUACCGCAUGAGAUCUAAGGAUGAAAGCAGGGGACCUUCGGGCCUUGCGCUACUAGAGCGGCUGAUGGCAGAUUAGGUAGUUGGUGGGAUAAAAGCUUACCAAGCCGACGAUCUGUAGCUGGUCUGAGAGGACGACCAGCCACACUGGGACUGAGACACGGCCCAGACUCCUACGGGAGGCAGCAGUGGGGAAUUUUGGACAAUGGGCGCAAGCCUGAUCCAGCAAUGCCGCGUGCAGGAUGAAGGCCUUCGGGUUGUAAACUGCUUUUGUACGGAACGAAAAGCCCUCUUCUAAUACAGGAGGGUCAUGACGGUACCGUAAGAAUAAGCACCGGCUAACUACGUG